GACGAACGCUGGCGGCGUGCCUAAUACAUGCAAGUAGAACGCUGAAGGAGGAGCUUGCUUCUCUGGAUGAGUUGCGAACGGGUGAGUAACGCGUAGGUAACCUGCCUGGUAGCGGGGGAUAACUAUUGGAAACGAUAGCUAAUACCGCAUAAUAGUAGAUGUUGCAUGACAUUUGCUUAAAAGGUGCAAUUGCAUCACUACCAGAUGGACCUGCGUUGUAUUAGCUAGUUGGUGGGGUAACGGCUCACCAAGGCGACGAUACAUAGCCGACCUGAGAGGGUGAUCGGCCACACUGGGACUGAGACACGGCCCAGACUCCUACGGGAGGCAGCAGUAGGGAAUCUUCGGCAAUGGACGGAAGGCUGACCGAGCAACGCCGCGUGAGUGAAGAAGGUUUUCGGAUCGUAAAGCUCGGUUGUAAGAGAAGAACGAGUGUGAGAGUGGAAAGUUCACACUGUGACGGUAUCUUACCAGAAAGGGACGGCUAACUACGUG
rnacentral:rRNA from 1 species